GGUGUUAGGGCUCCAAGAGUUGGUGCCUAAUAGGUUUCCUAAGGGAACUCAAAUAACUUAAGUUAUUAGAAAACCCAGUGCAAGUAGGACUUGUAUUAUGUGAUUGGAUAGGAUUCAAUCCUUAUGUUUAUUUAAAGAGACCUCCCCUAAGGUCCCUAGACAUCCCAACCAAUAGCCCACGCCCAUCAAAGAGAGCCCCCACGCCCUCUCUUCUCCUCCCUUUCUCUUCUCCCUUUGGACGUCCACAUAUCCUUGUUCUUGGGCGUCCCAC
rnacentral:lncRNA from 1 species